rnacentral:rRNA from 1 species
UACAGAGGGGGCAAGCGUUGUUUGGAAUUACUGGGCGUAAAGGGCGCGUAGGCGGCCUUCUAAGUCGAACGUGAAAUCCCUGGGCUCAACCCAGGAACUGCGUCCGAUACUGGAAGGCUUGAAUCCGGGAGAGGGAUGCGGAAUUCCAGGUGUAGCGGUGAAAUGCGUAGAUAUCUGGAGGAACACCGGUGGCGAAGGCGGCAUCCUGGACCGGUAUUGACGCUGAGGCGCGAAAGCCAGGGGAGCAAACGGG